rnacentral:rRNA from 1 species
AAAGGGGAAUGGGGGGAAGGGGGUGAGUACGCGUGGAACGUGCCUUUCCUACUAAAUAGCUUUUGGAAACGAAAGGUAAUACCGUAUACGCCCUCCGGGGGAAAGAUUUAUCGGUGAAAGAUCGGUCCGCGUUAGAUUAACUAGUUGGUGAGGUAAAAGCUCACCAAGGCGACGAUCUAUAGCUGGUCUGAGAGGAUGAUCAGCCACACUGGGACUGACACACGGCCCAGACUCCUACGGGAGGCAACAGUGGGGAAUAUUGCACUAUGGGCGCAAGCCUGAUGCAGCCCUGCCGCGUGAAUGAUGAAGGCCUUAGGGUUGUAAAAUUCUUUCGCUAGGGAUGAUAAUGACAGUACCUAUAAAUGAAGCCCCGGCUAACUUCAUGCCAGCAGCCGCGGUAAUACGAAGGGGGCUAGCGUUGUUCGGAAUUACUGGGCGUAAAGCGCACGUAGGCGGACUUUUAACUCAGAUGUGGAAUCCCGAGGCUCAGCCUCGGAACUGCAUUUGAGACUGUGAGUCUAGAAAUCAGGAGAUGUUAGCGGAAUACCGAGAGUACAGGUGAUAUACGUAAAUUUUCGGUGGAUUCCAGUGGCCAACGCUGCUAACUGGACUGAUACUGAAGCUGUAGUGACACUGAGUGGCGAGCAAUC